GCACGUACUUGUACAGUGAAGUGGCUGAUACCAUGCUUCCAGGAAAAGUCUCUAAGCUUCAGUUACACAGGAAUCGUACCCGAAACCGACACAGGUGGUCAGGUCGAGUAGACCAAAGCGCUUGAGAGAACUCUGCUGAAGGAACAAGGCAAAAUGGUACCGUAACUUCGGGAGAAGGUACGCUGCCGACGGUGAUGGGAUUUACUCCCUGAGCGGUUGGCAGCCACAGAAACCAGGCCCCUGCAACUGUUUAUUAAAAACAUAGCACUCUGCAAACACGAAAGUGGACGUAUAGGGUGUGAUGCCUGCCCGGUGCUGGAAGGUUAAUUGAUGGGGUUAGCGUAAGCGAAGCUCUUGAUCGAAGCCCCAGUAAACGGCGGCCGUAACAAUAACGGUCCUAAGGUAGCGAAAUUCCUUGUCGGGUAAGUUCCGACCUGCACGAAUGGCAUAAUGAUGGGGGCGCUGUCUCCAGCAGAGACUCAGUGAAAUCGAAUUCGCCGUGAAGAUGCGGUGUACCCGCGGCUAGACGGAAAGACCCCGUGAACCUUUACUGCAGCUUGACAUUGAACUUUGAUCUUACUUGUGUAGGAUAGGUGGGAGGCUUUGAAACUCGGACGCUAGUUCGAGUGGAGCCAAUCUUGAAAUACCACCCUGGUAAUAUUGAGGUUCUAACUCUGCUCCAUUAUCUGGAGCGAGGACCAUGUCUGGUGGGUAGUUUGACUGGGGCGGUCUCCUCCUAAAGAGUAACGGAGGAGUACGAAGGUGCGCUCAGCGUGGUCGGAAAUCACGCGUAGAGUAUAAAGGCAAAAGCGCGCUUAACUGCGAGACCCACAAGUCGAGCAGGUACGAAAGUAGGUCUUAGUGAUCCGGUGGUUCUGUAUGGAAGGGCCAUCGCUCAACGGAUAAAAGGUACUCUGGGGAUAACAGGCUGAUACCGCCCAAGAGUUCAUAUCGACGGCGGUGUUUGGCACCUCGAUGUCGGCUCAUCUCAUCCUGGGGCUGAAGCAGGUCCCAAGGGUAUGGCUGUUCGCCAUUUAAAGAGGUACGCGAGCUGGGUUUAGAACGUCGUGAGACAGUUCGGUCCCUAUCUACCGUGGGCGUUGGAAAUUUGAGAGGAUCUGCUCCUAGUACGAGAGGACCAGAGUGGACGAACCUCUGGUGUACCGGUUGUGACGCCAGUCGCAUCGCCGGGUAGCUAUGUUCGGAAGGGAUAACCGCUGAAAGCAUCUAAGCGGGAAGCCUACCUCAAGAUAAGAUUUCCCAAGGACUUUAUGUCCUCUAAAGAGCCGUUGAAGACUACGACGUUGAUAGGUUGGAUGUGGAAGUGCAGUGAUGCAUGAAGCUGACCAAUACUAAUUGCUCGUGAGGCUUGACUC
rnacentral:rRNA from 1 species